GACGUAGGGCGCGAGCGUUGUCCGGAUUUAUUGGGCGUAAAGAGCUCGUAGGCGGCUUGUCGCGUCGACUGUGAAAUCCCCGCGGCUCAACUGCGGGUCUGCAGUCGAUACGGGCAGGCUAGAGUUCGGUAGGGGAGACUGGAAUUCCUGGUGUAGCGGUGAAAUGCGCAGAUAUCAGGAGGAACACCGAUGGCGAAGGCAGGUCUCUGGGCCGAUACUGACGCUGAGGAGCGAAAGCGUGGGGAGCGAACAGG
rnacentral:rRNA from 1 species